rnacentral:rRNA from 1 species
UACGUAGGGGGCAAGCGUUGUCCGGAUUUAUUGGGCGUAAAGAGCGUGUAGGCGGUUUGGUAGGUCCGUUGUGAAAACUCGAGGCUCAACCUCGAGACGCCGAUGGAAACCAUCAGACUAGAGUCCGGAAGAGGAGAGUGGAAUUCCUGGUGUAGCGGUGAAAUGACGCAGAUAUCAGGAAGAACACCCGUGGCUAAGGCGGCUCUCUAGUACGGUACUGACGCUGAGACGCGAAAGCGUGGGGAGCGAACAGG